rnacentral:rRNA from 1 species
GAUGAACGCUGGCGGCGUGCUUAACACAUGCAAGUCGAACGGGAAUUAUUUUAUUGAAACUUCGGUCGAUUUAAUUUAAUUCUAGUGGCGGACGGGUGAGUAACGCGUGGGUAACCUGCCUUAUACAGGGGGAUAACAGUCAGAAAUGGCUGCUAAUACCGCAUAAGCGCACAGAGCUGCAUGGCUCAGUGUGAAAAACUCCGGUGGUAUAAGAUGGACCCGCGUUGGAUUAGCUGGUUGGUGGGGUAACGGCCCACCAAGGCGACGAUCCAUAGCCGGCCUGAGAGGGUGAACGGCCACAUUGGGACUGAGACACGGCCCAGAUUCCUACGGGAGGCAGCAGUGGGGAAUAUUGCACAAUGGGGGAAACCCUGAUGCAGCGACGCCGCGUGAAGGAAGAAGUAUCUCGGUAUGUAAACUUCUAUCAGCAGGGAAGAUAGUGACGGUACCUGACUAAGAAGCCCCGGCUAACUACGUG